rnacentral:rRNA from 1 species
AGAGUUUGAUCCUGGCUCAGAUUGAACGCUGGCGGCAUGCCUUACACAUGCAAGUCGAACGGUAACAGGGAGCUUGCUCCGCUGACGAGUGGCGAACGGGUGAGUAAUAUAUCGGAACGUGCCUGAUAGUGGGGGACAACUAGUCGAAAGAUUAGCUAAUACCGCAUACGCCCUACGGGGGAAAGGGGGGGACUCGCAAGAGCCUCUCGCUAUCAGAGCGGCCGAUAUCUGAUUAGCUAGUUGGUGAGGUAAAGGCUCACCAAGGCUUCGAUCAGUAGCUGGUCUGAGAGGACGACCAGCCACACUGGGACUGAGACACGGCCCAGACUCCUACGGGAGGCAGCAGUGGGGAAUUUUGGACAAUGGGCGCAAGCCUGAUCCAGCAAUGCCGCGUGAGUGAAGAAGGCCUUCGGGUUUGUAAAGCUCUUUUGUCAGGGAAGAAACGGUUCUGGAUAAUACCUGGGGCUAAUGACGGUACCU